rnacentral:rRNA from 1 species
UACGUAGGGGGCUAGCGUUGUCCGGAUUUAUUGGGCGUAAAGAGCGUGUAGGCGGCCAGAUAAGUCCGCUGUGAAAUCCUCGAGGCUCAACUUCGAGCUGUCGGUGGAAACUGUCUGGCUAGAGUCCGGAAGAGGAGAGUGGAAUUCCUGGUGUAGCGGUGAAAUGCGCAGAUAUCAGGAAGAACACCAAUGGCGAAAGCAGCUCUCUGGGACGGUACUGA